rnacentral:rRNA from 1 species
AUUGAACGCUGGCGGCAGGCUUAACACAUGCAGGUCGAACGGUAACAUAAAGAAGCUUGCUUCUUUGAUGACGAGUGGCGGACGGGUGAGUAAUGCUUGGGAAUCUAGCUUAUGGAGGGGGAUAACUACGGGAAACUGUAGCUAAUACCGCGUAGAAUCGAGAGAUGAAAGUGUGGGACCUUCGGGCCACAUGCCAUAGGAUGAGCCCAAGUGGGAUUAGGUAGUUGGUGAGGUAAAGGCUCACCAAGCCGACGAUCUCUAGCUGGUCUGAGAGGAUGACCAGCCACACUGGGACUGAGACACGGCCCAGACUCCUACGGGAGGCAGCAGUGGGGAAUAUUGCGCAAUGGGGGCAACCCUGACGCAGCCAUGCCGCGUGAAUGAAGAAGGCCUUCGGGUUGUAAAGUUCUUUCGGUAGCGAGGAAGGCAUUUAGUUUAAUAGACUAGGUGAUGGACGUAAC